AAGUCAGAUGUGAAAGCCUUCUGUUCAACGGAAGAAUUGCAUCUGAAACUGCUAAUCUUGAGUAUAGGAGGGGAGAAUGGAACUUCUGGCGGAGCGGUGAAAUGCGUAGAUAUCAGAAGGAACGCCGACGGCGAAAGCGAUUCUCUGGCCUAUUACUGACACUCAGUGUGCGAAAGCUAGGGGAGCAAACGGGAUUAGAUACCCCGGUAGUCCUAGCCGUAAACGAUGGGCACUAAGUAGAGGGAAUUACCGAUGUUCUCUCUGCCGUAGCUAACGCAUUAAGUGCCCCGCCUGGGGAGUACGGCCGCAAGGCUAAAACUCAAAAGAAUUGACGGGGGCUCGCACAAGCGGUGGAGCAUGUGGCUUAAUUCGAUGCAACGCGAAAAACCUUACCGGGGCUUGACAUGAUAGAAGUAGGAACCUGAAAGGGGGACGAACGGUAUCCAGUCCGUAGCUAUUACAGGUGUUGCAUGGCUGUCGUCAGCUCGUGUCGUGAGACGUUGGGUUAAGUCCCCUAACGAGCGAAACCCUUGUUUUUAGUUGCCAGCGGGUUAUGCCGGGCACUCUAGAAAGACUGCCGUCGUCAAGACGGAGGAAGGUGGGGACGACGUCAAGUCAUCAUGGCCCUUAUGCCCCGGGCUGCACACGUGCUACAAUGGCCGGUACAAACGGAAGCGAAG
rnacentral:rRNA from 1 species